ACUUAACUUAGUUUACAAUGUAAUUUUGACACUGAAAUGCGUUAUUAUUAUCUUUUUCAAUGCACAACCGACGAACAUAACAUAACUCCAGUCUUUUCAAGGUGGAUAACACAAUAAAACACAGGUUACAUCGGGGAGAUUUAAGUUCUUUCGUUUAAUUUUUGGAAGGAUCGGCAUCAGGCACAACAGUCGCCUAACUCAUACUCAAACUCGCUGCUUCUCUCUCUUUCUCUUUUUCACAAGAGCACAAAAGGCAAAACAAUAUUUAUGACAUAAUCAGUGAUUUUAAUUAUGGUUUGUUCUGUCUUGAGAGGAGAGGACAAUGUGGUGACUUUGACUUCCUCUUUAAGAGGACAGUUUUUUACUAUGAGAGCUCUGCAGUACAGUUCGUCUUAAAUACUGUGUGAAGUGAACAACAUGAGGAUUAUUCACAUUCAGAUUUAUGUGUUACUGUGGUGUCAAGCUGCAGAGACUUUAGAUCAACUGACUUCUUUGGGACAAAAUGUGUCUAUAAACUGUGAUCUGGAUUCCAGUGCGGUUUAUUGGAUUUUAUUGAAACAAUCUGAUUCUACAGUGAUACUGCAGUCAUUCUUAAACCCACCGUUAGCUUUUCACUUCAAUAACACAUUCAAAAACAAACAUUCAGUACAAUCUAAACAUCGUCUGGUCAUAUAUAAUGUAACUCAUGACGAGUUAGGAGUUUAUUACUGUGUGAACAAGAUACACCUCCAAAAGUCAGUAACAGCACACGACUGAACAUCAUGGGUAAGUCAUCUUUAAUUGUACCUCGAUUGCUUCACCCAUGUGAUAGAUAUGUUUUAAAUACUCCGCAAAAUUGCAGUUUGAUAUUGUGCAUAAGUCGAGCAGACUGCAGUAACACACUACACAUUUUAGAAACAACUCAUCUACUGUAGGUUGAAUAAUCACACUGAUUUUACAGAGAUACAGGACAACUGGACACAUUGGAAGACUUUCAGCCUCUUAUCUGGUCUGUUAAAUGCGGUUCUGAUCAUAACAGUUGUCGUUGGAUGUUGGACAAAAUCUGGAAAAAGCUCUGGAAAAUAUCAUAGCACUGACCUACAGCAGACACAAGUUACAGAACAGCAUCAGGAUACAAAUCAAGUGAAGUAUGUAGCGGUGGACUUUUCCAAAAUGCAUAAAAACGUCCGUACCAGCAAAGACAACAGCACAUAUACUGCUUGCACCUAUGCUUCUAUAAAGCUGCCAAGGCCAAAAGCACAGGAAUAUAAAUGACAUCAUAUAUAUUUACAGUACAAAAUGGUUA